rnacentral:rRNA from 1 species
UACGUAGGGUGCAAGCGUUAAUCGGAAUUACUGGGCGUAAAGGGCGCGUAGGCGGUGCUCUAAGUCGGAUGUGAAAACUCUGGGCUCAACCCAGAGCCUGCAUCCGAAACUGGAGUGCUAGAGUUCUGGAGGGGGUAGCGGAAUUCCUGGUGUAGCGGUGAAAUGCGUAGAUAUCAGGAGGAACACCGGUGGCGAAGGCGGCUACCUGGACAGAAACUGACGCUGAGGCGCGAAAGCUAGGGGAGCAAACAGG